GACCACACGCAAGAGGCCCAUCUGGCCAGCCCAAUAGUCACACAUAACACGAGUACACAUCCUUCUCCUCACCUCACGAUUCACAGGAACGCAUUCAUCUUUUUCUAUCCCACUAGGAACCCUAGCCGCCGCCCGCCGCCCGCCGCCCGUCACCCACUGCUGUGGCCCGACGCCCCAUGCCCAUGAGAUGUGAGCCGGUGACGACCGCCGCAUCAAGGCGCGCGGCGCACCCCUGACCGACGAAGAUCGGCGCCCCGAGCCCCGGCCCCGACCAGUGGAGACCGGCGCCCCGCGCCGCCAUCCCCGACCCCCCGUCAGUCGCUCCACUGCCCGUGACACGGCCGUCCGCCGUCAGUGACGACCGCCGCGUCGAGGCGCGCGGCGCGACCUUGACUGAUGUAGAUCGGCGCGCCGAGCCAAGGCCCCGACCAUUGGAGACUGGCGCCCCGCGCCGCCAUCCCCGACCCCCCGUCAGUCGCUCCACUGCUCGCGACACGGCCGUCCGCCGCCGGUGCUCCGCGCCCCGAUGACUGGUUCAGGAGCUGCAGUCCAUCACCACUCAUCACCACCCGUCUUCUUCAACUCUAUUCGUCGGCUCGCUGUCUACUGCCCUCCUUCAUUUCUCCACAUCGCAGCUGAAGAGAUGAUUGAAGAAUUUGGGGACAAGGUGAAGGGAAAGCACAAGGUCCAUGGUGGUGCUGAAAUUGAUUUGUUUGAUGUCAAGUACUAUGUUAUCAAGUACUAAGUGAUGGUGGUCUGCUGUUUGCUGCUUGUCGAUUCCAAUAUUCCAUGUCCUGUUGUUGCUUGUGAUCUUCUUACUUUGUGUCAAAUAUAAAUGGUGUUGCUUGUUAUCUUCUCACUUUCUGUCAAAUGUAAUUGUUGUUGCUUUUUAUCUUCUUACUUUCUGUCAAAUAUAAAUGAUAUGCAUACAUGAAUCUUGCUGCUGGACCAUGAAUCAUGAAUCUUCUUACUUCGUGUCAGAUAUGAAUCUUGUUAUUUCCUGUCAAAUAUAAACAUAGAAUUGUACUGGAAGCAUCAUGAAUCUGAGUUGUAGCAAUUAAUUUGGUCUGUUUGGUCGGGACCGAAGACCGAAUUGUAAAGACCGAAGACCGAAUAGUUAAGAACCGAAAAGACCGAAAUUAUUUCGGUCUUCAGUUAUGAAAGACCGAAUUAUUAGAAGACCGAAAAGACCGGACCGAACAAACCGAAAAGACCGAACGCCCGAGCUGAGUUCUGGCUGUGUGGCAGCCUGGCACUCCCUGAAGCUAGUUACUUUCCACGGCAAGGGAGGCUCCAGCAAGCCCACGGCGGUCGCCGUUGCUGCUCAGGCCCAGUUGGAAAAUGGCCUGUCAGGCCAUUGACGUUGCUGAUGUGGUGCAUCGGCCCACAUCGGUGAACCAUCGUCGGAGUUGAACUUGUUGAUGGACAAUGACGGAAUGCAUCCCCUGAAUGAAGUGAGCAUUUUCCUGUUUGUUUAUCUAGCCUCUCAUUCUUACCUUAGACAUACAAAUGAAAAAAGAGGUACUCCCUCCGUCCGAAAAAAUUUGUCCCAAGCUUGUCUCUCAAAUGAAUGUAUCUAGAACUAAUUUGAUGCUAGAUACAUUUAUUUGGGGGACAAGCUUUUUUGGACAGAGGGAGUAUGGGAGAAAGAGGGUGGAGACUAAACAAAGAUAAACCAAGAUACCGAAUUAAUACAGAGUGAUAAUGAAAAUAGAAAACGAAAUGUGAAUAAAGAGAAACCAAAGACUCGUAAAACAGAGAGUAAGAACGAACAACGAGGACCUAGCACUACUAUGUUAAUAGGCAUGUCUCAAGAGUAGUGUUGAUACUUAGAUGAGUGAUGCAACGUUGGAGUACUAAUUAGUGGCUGGGACUGCUCCAACCAUCGAGCGGGGUAUAUUGUAUAUAAUACGUAGUUGAGUGAUCGCCUUUAGAUGUUUCAGAUGCUGAAAAGUAUUUUCCAAUGAACAUAUAUAUUAUGCUAUGCAUCCUGACAUAUGCACUUCCUUGGAAUUGUUGAUAUGUAUGUAUCAUUGCUAGCAGCCGUCGUUGGCCUACUUGGAGAACAAAUAAGCAUUUUAACAUAAGGGCAUCACAAAAAUAUCAGAAUACAAAAACUAUGUUAGGUCUGCAUUUUUUUUCAUGCAUCAUCUGAGUUUAGUGUACUUUUUGUGCAGCAGCAACCAGAAGCCAAAAGAACCCAAUACUGUAAUCUAAAAUAAAAACAUGUCCACAAGCCUAAUAACAUUGAAAGUCUGAGUCCUACUACAACAGUUCAAACAAUCAAUAGUCAGAAGAGGCUAAUUAAGGUACUGGUAUAAGGUACUUAACUGGGUAUACAUAAUAUCUAGGAUCAAAGAAUUUGGAUAAGAUGCCAAGGGUUCUUCACUCUAUAAAUGGAACUCACCUGAACACUAAACCCAUGGUUGUCAUUGCAUAGCUCUAGACUGAAUAAUAAGGGCAAUACCAAAAAAUUUAUGCAUUAGUGCAUGAACUAAGAUAAAAUAAAACGAGCCUAUAAUGAUGGUGUUACUUUCUUGCGCAAGCACCAAAACUUUGCCAAAAAGUAAAAUAUACUGGGAGCAUUGUACCUUUAUU